AUUGAACGCUGGCGGCAUGCCUUACACAUGCAAGUCGAACGGCAGCGGACCUUCGGGUGCCGGCGAGUGGCGAACGGGUGAGUAAUGUAUCGGAACGUACCUUUCAGUGGGGGAUAACGUAGCGAAAGUUACGCUAAUACCGCAUAUUCUGUGAGCAGGAAAGCAGGGGAUCGCAAGACCUUGCGCUGAUUGAGCGGCCGAUAUCAGAUUAGCUAGUUGGUGAGGUAAAGGCUCACCAAGGCGACGACCUGUAGCGGGUCUGAGAGGAUGAUCGGACACACUGAAACGGCGACACGGGCCAGACUCCUACGGGAUGCAGCAGGUGGGAAUUUUGGACAAUGGGGGCAACCCUGAUCCAGCCAUGCCGCGUGAGUGAAGGAGGCCUUCGGGUUGUAAAGCUCUUUCGUCCGGGAAGAAAUCGCAUCAGCUAAUACCUGGUGUGGAUGACGGUACCGGAAUAAGAAGCACCGGCUAACUACGUGCCAGCCGCCGCAGUAAAAC
rnacentral:rRNA from 1 species